rnacentral:rRNA from 1 species
GUGAAAUUGUUGAAAGGGAAACGCUUGAAGUCAGUCAUGUCCUUUAGAAAUCAACCUGACUUUGGUUGGGCGCACUUUCUUCUGGACAGGUCAGCAUCAGUUUUGACCAUUGGAAAAGGAGUCUGGAAAGGUAGCACCUCUUGAGGUGUGUUAUAGUCUGAACUCAUAUACAGUGGUUGGGACUGAGGAACUCAGCGUGAUCAGGUCUUUUGGCUUGGUUUGGAGGUUUCGGCCUCACACAACGCGCUUUGGAUGCUGGCGUAAUGGCUUUAAUCGACCCGUCUUGAAACACGGACCAAGGAGUCUAACAUACAUGCAAGUGUUUGGGUGAAAAACCCAUGCGCGAAAUGAAAGUGAAAGUUAAGAACCCUCAAGGGUGCAUUGACGCCUGGCCCAGAACAAUUUGUGACGGAGCUACGGUAGAGCAUGCAUGUUGGGACCCGAAAGAUGGUGAACUAUGCCUGAAUAGGGUGAAGCCAGAGGAAACUCUGGUGGAAGCUCGCAGCGAUUCUGACGUGCAAAUCGAUCGUCAAAUUUGGGUAUAGGGGCGAAAGACUAAUCGAACCAUCUAGUAGCUGGUUCCCGCCGAAGUUUCCCUCAGGAUAGCAGACGCUCAUUUAUUCAG